rnacentral:rRNA from 1 species
AUUGAACGCUGGCGGCAGGCCUAACACAUGCAAGUCGAACGAGUGGCGGACGGGUGAGUAAUGUCUGGGAAACUGCCUGAUGGAGGGGGAUAACUACUGGAAACGGUAGCUAAUACCGCAUACCAUCGGAUGUGCCCAGAUGGGAUUAGCUAGGAGGUGGGGUAACGGCUCACCUGGGCGACGAUCCCUAGCUGGUCUGAGAGGAUGACCAGCCACACUGGGACUGAGACAGGGUCCAGACUCCUACGGGAGGCAGCAGUUGGGAAUAGUGCACAAGGGGCGCAAGUCUGAUGCAGCCAUGCCGCGUGUAUGAAGAAGGCCUUCGGGUUGUAAAGUACUUUCUGCGGGGAGGCGUUACCCGCAGAAGAAGCACCGGCUAACUCCGUGCCAGCAGCCGCGGUAAUUC